rnacentral:tRNA from 1 species
GCCCCCAUCGUCUAGCCUGGCCUAGGACAUCGGCCCUUCAAGCCGGAAGCGCGGGUUCGAAUCCCGCUGGGGGCACCA